rnacentral:lncRNA from 1 species
CUCAACGGCAGCCGUCAACUGUGAUCGUUCGGGUCGAACAUUUGCACAAUAAGGUGAGUAAACAAAGAUUUUUAUGUUGCUUAGCAACUCUUUUAAUGCACUUGGUUCGAAUACUGUCUCCAUUAAUACUUUUAGAAGUAUUUCCAGAAAAUUUUUUGACCGAAGGCAAAAUCUAUGGUUCGCAACAAAAUGGCCGUUACCUCUUACAACAUCAGCCUUGAGCCUGAAGUCUCAUCGCUUAUAUAAUCAUAGAUUUGCAGUGCGAUAUUCGCAUUUAGGUUAUUUUGAAAGAUUCUUGGGUAGCUUUCUGAACAUUUUAAACCAAAUACGGUGCAUAUUUGUUGCUUGGACCUGUUCCAGGUCGUGAGCCUAGCAAUGGUGGACAUUGUUGUUGUUUUCAGCCUUCUUCAUGGUUCGGAAGGGAAAAGAUGGCGGACUCUCCAACACUUCGCUCGGAAAUAAAACAGGCUGAGGUGCCCAUUAAUGAUUAAGAAUGGAAAUAUUGAAGCACAUGCAACAUGCAUUGAUACUUAUUGAUGUUAUACAUUGUUAAUUGUUUAAAUUUGAAUUAUUUAUAAUUCUUUUAAUUGGAAAGCAUUAAAGAAAGACAAAAUGGCGACUCCAUUAACGCGAUUUUGGGUGUGGCCACAAUUUGAGCCUUUUAAGUUUUUUUUUUUAUUAUUAAAAUCCAUACUGCUUUUAAUAAAUAUUUUAAUGAAAUUAUACUAAAACUGUUUUAAAUUUUUAAAUUAAACUUUUAAAAUUAUUUGAAUUCAAUAUGAUUGUAAUAAGAUAUUAAGUUUUAUAGCGAAUUUAAUUUUAAAAGAAACCGGGAAAUAAUUAUACUAUAUUGACAGUUGCCUUAUUUAUUUGAAUGUAUCUAUACUAGAAAUUCUCUUAACCAUGAAUUAAGUUGAAAUAAAUAGGCUAAAAUAGAGAUACCUAAUUAUUAAAUUUGUUAUUAGAUUUUAAUUUUGUUUUGUGUAAAUAAUAACCAAGAAUAAAAUUUGAAAUAGAUACAAAAUGUAAUUAGACGGUAAUGCAUUAUCUUAACUAUUCUAAAAAAAUUGCAUUGAACGUUGCAUCAAAAAUAUAAGUUGAUAUACAUCAAUAAGUAUCCUAUUAGUAGCAUUCCAAUUAAUAUUCUAUAAUCUGCUAUAAAAUGGAAUUUCUAAAAAAAUUAUAG